AGGACGAACGCUGGCGGCGUGCCUAAUGCAUGCAAGUCGCACGCACCUUCGGGUGAGUGGCGCACGGCUGAGGAACACGUGGCUAACCUGCCCUGGAGUGGGGGAUAACGGGCCGAAAGGCUCGCUAAGCCCGCAUACGAUUGGCUUCGGCCAAGGAAAGCCGCAAGGCGCUCUAGGAGGGGGCCGCGCCCCAUUAGAUAGUUGGUGUGGUAACGGCGCACCAAGUCCGUGAUGGGUUCCGGGUCUGAGAGGACGACCCGGCAGACUGGGACUGAGACACGGCCCAGACUCCUACGGGGGCAGCAGCAAGGAUUUCCCCAAUGGGCGCAAGCCUGAGGGAGCAACGCCGCGUGGA
rnacentral:rRNA from 1 species